GUGGGGGAUAUUGCACAAUGGGGGAAACCCUGAUGCAGCGACGCCGCGUGAAGGAAGACGUACUUCGGUAUGUAAACUUCUAUCAGCAGGGAAGAAGAUGACGGUACCUGACUAAGAAGCCCCGGCUAACUACGAGCCAGCAGCCGCGGUAAUACGUAGGGGGCAAGCGUUAUCCGGAUUUACUGGGUGUAAAGGGAGCGUAGACGGUGAAGCAAGUCUGAUGUGAAAACCCGGGGCUCAACUCCGGGAUUGCAUUGGAAACUGUUUUACUUGAGUGCUGGAGGGGCAAGCGGAAUUCCUGGUGUAGCGGUGAAAUGCGUAGAUAUCAGGAAGAACACCGGUGGCGAAGGCGGCUUGCUGGACAGUAACUGACGUUGAGGCUCGAAAGCGUGGGGAGCAAACAGGAUUAGAUACCCUUGUAGUCC
rnacentral:rRNA from 1 species